rnacentral:rRNA from 1 species
GAUGAACGCUGGCGGCGUGCUUAACACAUGCAAGUCGAGCGAUGAAGUUUCCUUCGGGAAACGGAUUAGCGGCGGACGGGUGAGUAACACGUGGGUAACCUGCCUCAUAGAGUGGAAUAGCCUUUCGAAAGGAAGAUUAAUACCGCAUAAUGUUGAAAGAUGGCAUCAUCAUUCAACCAAAGGAGCAAUCCGCUAUGAGAUGGACCCGCGGCGCAUUAGCUAGUUGGUGGGGUAACGGCCUACCAAGGCGACGAUGCGUAGCCGACCUGAGAGGGUGAUCGGCCACAUUGGGACUGAGACACGGCCCAGACUCCUACGGGAGGCAGCAGUGGGGAAUAUUGCACAAUGGGGGAAACCCUGAUGCAGCAACGCCGCGUGAGUGAUGAAGGUUUUCGGAUCGUAAAGCUCUGUCUUUGGGGAWGWUAAUGACGGWMCCCMAAAGG